CAAUAAGCGGAGGAAAAGAAACUAACAAGGAUUCCCCUAGUAACGGCGAGCGAACCGGGAAGAGCUCAAAUUUGUAAUCUGGCGCCCCUCGGGCUCAGAGUUGUAAUCUACAGAGGCGUUUUCCGUGCCGGCCCGUGCCCAACUUUGCUUGGAACAGUGAGAUCAAAGAGGGUGAAAAUCCCGUACUUGACACGACCGCCGGUGCUAUGUGAUACGUCUUCUAAGAGUCGAGUUGUUUGGGAAUGCAGCUCAAAACGGGUGGUAAAUUCCAUCUAAGGCUAAAUAUUGGCGAGAGACCGAUAGCGAACAAGUACCGUGAGGGAAAGAUGAAAAGCACUUUGGAAAGAGAGUUAAACAGCACGUGAAAUUGUUGAAAGGGAAACGAUUGAAGUCAGUCGUGUCCGAGGGGUUCAGCCGGUCCUGCCGGUGCAUUCCUCUCGGACGGGUCAACAUCGGUUUUGUCCGGCGGACAAGGGCAUGGGGAAAGUGGCACCUUCGGGUGUGUUAUAGCCCCGUGUCGCAUACGUCGGACGAGACCGAGGAACGCAGCUCGCCUCACGGCCGGGGUUCGCCCACGUACGAGCUUAGGAUGUUGACAUAAUGGCUUUAAACGACCCGUCUUGAAACACGGACCAAGGAGUCUAACAUAUCUGCGAGUGUUUGGGUGUCAAACCCGAGCGCGUAAUGAAAG
rnacentral:rRNA from 1 species